rnacentral:lncRNA from 10 species
UGGACCAGCCCCUGCCUGUGAGCUCCCUGGAGCCAGAGGUGCAAAGUCUGCAAUGACACAAAAAGCCAGCACGCUGGGAGGGGCUCUGGAGACCAUCUCAUUGUUCAUUCAUUUGUCUAUUCAAUCCAUUUUAUUGACUGCUCACUGUGUGCCAGACACAUGGGCCCUGGAGAUACAGAAGAAACACGUGAGGUCCCUGCCCUCCAGGAAUUAAGAAGAUAAAGUCAAAAGUGCUGUAAAGAACAACAGGAUGAUGGGGAGUGGUGCCCUCGGGUCCCAAGAGGGCUGCAGACUGCAGGCCUCCCUGAAGUGAAGAUGCAGCAAAGUGGAAGACAGCACACGGAAACCAUGCAGCAGCUCCCUCUGGGGAAGAGAAAGAGGGAGCCACGUUGCUCUAUACCCUGUGGACUUCUUGCAAUAUGAACCUUCAUGGACCUAAGAAAAAUAAUAAUAAAGGAAAA